rnacentral:rRNA from 1 species
UACGUAGGGCGCAAGCGUUAUCCGGAAUUAUUGGGCGUAAAGAGCUCGUAGGCGGUUUGUCGCGUCUGCUGUGAAAACGCGAGGCUCAACCUCGCGCCUGCAGUGGGUACGGGCAGACUAGAGUGUGGUAGGGGAGAUUGGAAUUCCUGGUGUAGCGGUGGAAUGCGCAGAUAUCAGGAGGAACACCGGUGGCGAAGGCGGAUCUCUGGGCCAUUACUGACGCUGAGGAGCGAAAGCGUGGGGAGCGAACAGG